rnacentral:tRNA from 1 species
GCCGAGGUGGCGAAAUUGGUAGACGCACUAGACUUAGGAUCUAGCGGGUAAAACCGUGCGAGUUCGAGUCUCGCCCUCGGCACCA